GAAGUGGAGCCGGCGUAGCCGAUCCGUAGAUUAGUCAGAUUAUCGCCGCGUCUCUGUGCGUGUGAGAACGCCGUCAUGGCGCUCGGCCCUUUGAAGAUCAAUCCGGCAGCUUUGAACCGCUUAAAAGCUUUCCUGGCGGACCCGGCCUACAAGGAUGCGAUGGAAAGCUCGUCGUCUGCCAACACGCGCCUGGUGGUGGAGCGUCGUCUGCGGCUGCCGUUCCUGGAUGCCCAGACAGGAGUGGCCCAGAGCGACUGCGCCCUCUGGAUGCCGCGCUGGCAGCGCAUGCCCGGUCAUGGCGACGGGCAGCUGUAUUCGUACCCGGCGAGGCGGUGGCGCAAGAAGCGGCGCCAGUACCUCAUGAACGACCGCUACCUCGGAGCGGCCACACGUCUCAGGGAGCCGGACUACUCCGACGCAGACAUGCACCAGAUCAGCGUGGUGGAGAACACGGCGGCUCGCACCCCUGGUCUGGAGGGAGAGGAGGGGAGUCUGGGCCCCACGCCCCUGCCCACCGCAGCGGCCGACAAGACGCUCUCCCUGGCUGAGGACUCCAACCAGUCGUGGUACCGUGAUCUCGAAGACACAGUGACAGACCCCGCACUGCUGGACGCCACGGUCCAGGACUUCCCAGACGAUCCGGAGACGGACACAGAGGACUAUGACGAGACCUACACCCGCAAGAAGAAGAAGAAGGGAAAGGGCACCGGCCAGAAGAAGAGGACGCGCAUCGAGUACACGGACGCCGAGAAGCCCUACAGCUGCGAAAUCUGCGGGGUGCGUUACAAGACGCGUCCUGGCCUGUCGUAUCACUACGCCCACAGCCACAUUGCGGGCAGUGGCAACAGCAGCAGCAGCGCCAACAACAGCAGCAGCAACGCGGGGGUGAGCAGCGGCGGGGGCGGGGACCACCACGCGGCGUCGGGGGGCCAGGCCCCCACAGGGGGCCCGCUGCAGGAGGACAGCGGCUCCGGAAGCAGCGCCCCGUCGGGGGACGGGGCCGCUUACGGGGGCCAGAGGGGAGCCCCCUCGGGGGACAGCCCCCUGGCGGGGCUGCGCAAGUUCCAGGACAGCUUCCUCUCCUUCCUCAAGACCCCGCAGGGACAGGAGUCUGGUGGCAAGCCUGUGCCUUCCCCCGGGGGCCCCCACAUGGGGGGCAUGCCGAUGGGGCUGCCCCCCGGGGUGGCCCCGCCCCCCGGCAUGGGCAUGGGGGCGGGGCCGCUGCACCCCAUGGCGGCGGCGGGGGGAGGACCCCCCACCGAGGGACCCGGCUCGCGUAGCGCCAGCGGAAAGCCGCUAGCCAAUCCGAGCCCCUACUGCGACUUCUGUCUCGGGGACAACGGCGAGAACAAGAAGACACGGCAGCCCGAGGAGCUGGUCUCCUGCUCGGACUGCGGACGGUCCGGAUCAGCUGCUGUUCUGCGAUGACUGUGACCGGGGAUACCACAUGUACUGCCUCACACCGCCACUCUCCGAACCUCCUGAAGGGCUCUGGAGCUGUCACCUCUGCAUCGAAGAAUAUGGAAAUGUGGAGCAGCGUGGAGCGGGACCAUCACCAUAGCCGCCUCACCAGAGCCCUUGG
rnacentral:misc_RNA from 1 species